CUUAAUAAAUAAAUAAAUAAAUAAAUAAAUAAAUAAAUAAAAUUCAUUUUUUUUUUUUUUAUGGUAGGUCCUAGUCAAAAUGGUUUGGAAAAUGCUAUGCUAUUUAUUAAUUUUUUUAAAAGUGUAUUUAUUUUGAGAGAGAGAGAGACAGACAGAAUUCCAAGCAGGCUCCGUGCUGUCAGUGCAGAGCCCGAUGCGGGGCUCGAACUCUUGGAACCGUGAGAUCGACCUGAGCCGAGAUCAAGAGUCAGACACUUGACCGACUGAGCCACCCAGGCGCCCCGGAAAAUGCUAUUUUAGUAACAGGCGGAAAUACAUCGUAGAAAGCUCGUGGGCUUUUGAGUAGGACCGAGGUUUAAAUCCUGGCUCAGACACUCAGUAGCUGUGUGACCUUCGGGAAGUCACUUGGCCUCUCUGACCUCCAGUUUCCUCAUCUGAAAACGGGAGGUAGAGCGAGGUUAUCCUUGCCCUGUACCUUGCCGCAUGAUCGAUGCGGGUGGUUUUUAACGUUUGUUUCGUUUUUAAGUCUCAGAGCCGUUUAGCAAUCUGAGGAAAGCCUCUCAGCCCAGAGAAACAAACCUAUGUACCAAACGUCACCAGCUAUCCCAAGGGAUUCCUGGUCCUCUUGAAGGCUUUGUUGGUGGCUGGGGAUUUGGGGGUGCAGUGAUGGAGGGAAAGCCAGAUGCACGGGGGGGGUGGCAUGGGUGUGGGAAUGUGGGACCCCCCUCGAGAGCACUCACACGGUAGAACUGCGGUGACUCCUGAUGGACAGGCCCUGCUCAGCCCUCACCAGCCGUUGGUAGGAGAUUCCUGUUGCCAAAACAAACGAGAGUCGGUAGGUUUAUCAUGCCUCGCUGUGACCCCACACUGGCCAAGGAGGUCAGGGGCCUGGGGACGAGACUCAGGCCCCGUGCAGAUCCGCUCCCCUGAGACGGUGGGCACAGGGCCCGAGGCUGCGAGGCGGCCGGCCUGCUGUCACCUAGGAGUUCUCUGGCCAUCUGGAGGCACGGGGGCCCUCCCAAGAGUGUGCAGGCCCCCAGCUGGGUCUCCAAUGGCCCUCCGCGCCCCUGCCUGGCUUCCCACGGGCUCUUAGGACAGGUGGGUCUCCCUGACCCUGUCCUUCCCAGGCUGGGUCCUGUCCCUGCCCCUGGCCACAACACCCCCACCCCCAAGCCUUUCUCUCCAGCCUCAUCUGCCUCAUCAGCCCAAAGUCUCUCCUUUUCUCCUGCGACCUGACUGGAAAACAGAGCCUUGAGAGUAAGGAUUCGGUUGUGUAUCCACCACGGUAAGGUUAAACAACACUGGCCCUCCUCACCGACAAGGGCACCAGAAGCAGGGGCUGGGAUUCAGGGGGGCAGGCAGCCUCAAGGGGGCCCCUGUCAGGGGGCAAGGCCCCUCUGCGACUGGGUGUGGGCCGGGAGGAGGAAGGCAAUCCCCCUGGAUAGGUGCAAAGCCAACACCGGGGUCAGAGACAGCUGUAAACAGAAAGGCCACGAUUUUUGUGUCAUCGAUGGUGGAAAAUUGCUAGUUCAUGCUAUUCUAAUUUAGGACCUAACUGUUUUGAUUUGGGGCCUUUUGUUUGAUGUUUCUCUUAGGUAACUGUCACAUGUUCAGAGGUUGAAGUUAUGCUUAUUUUGAUGGGAAAGUCCCUGAAACGGUGGCUACUGCCAUCGGGACCUGGGACACCAUCUGGUGGCCACUUGGGUGUUGGAUGGGGGCUUCUGGAAGACCCCAUUUUGCAACCUCCCUUUCCUCCUUUCUGUUAACUGGAAUGGGGACAUGAUGGCCACAGCUCCUGCGGUCAUUAGACCAAGAAGUGACACCGAGGGCAGUGUUUCCUGCUAAGGAUGGUGAAACAGAAAAAAGAAAUGAUUCUGGAAUGUUCAGCCCUGCCUGUGCCAACCCUGGGCUGCCUUCCACUGGGAUUUUUUUUUUUUUUAAUGUAAGAAAAAAAAAAUAAACCCCUUUGAGUUGCCACAACUA